UGAGUUGUAGCUCAGUGGUAGAGUGCUUGCCUAACAUGUGAGAGGAGGCCCUGGGUUCAACCCCCAGUAGUGCAG
rnacentral:tRNA from 1 species